CAGUGAUUAAGGUCUGGUGUUUAUCAGGAUAGAUCAGGCAGUCUGCUCGGAGUAAGUAAAAGAAGAAAAAUAGAUACUGAUCAUCUUUAAUGUAGGAGCAAGUUCUGAGGUCUUUAGCAUUCUUUUGUUCUGUGUUUGUGCACCACUUAGAGAUUGUGUGGUACUGAUCUGCGCACUGUGAUAAGCCCCUAGACAUCUUUCUUGAAGGCAAUUGAAUGCUGAAAGACUGACAGCACAAUGAUGCUGUAUUUACUGGCACAUGGAUCUUGCAGCAGUAUUCUCAUGCCACCCUUUGAUUUCCAGAGCAGAAACCACCUUUUGGAUUACGGUAAACUUGUCAAUCAGUGCCCAGAGGCAGUCAACACAAUGCAGUUGUGCCAGAUACGUAGAGUGACUUGCCAAGAUACUCUCUCUGCAUCACUGAGGGAUAUCCUUCACAUUGUCUCUGAAAGUGAAGAUGGGCCACACAAUGUGCUGCAUCUGGAAGGAGGGGGGCUCAGAGCGUUGUCCCUGUGCUCCUCCGAGAUUGCAUUCUCAGUAGAAAAUCUAAACUAUCAGGGAGGAUGUUCUUCUGGCCAGCUAUGUGCUGACAAAGUUACUGCUCUUGUGAUCAGCAAUAAAGGUUUUGCUGCUGCUUAGAAAUAUGCUGGAGUUUCAGAUCAGAAUGAGAAUCAAUUCUGCAUGUGGUUGCUCACCUUGUGUCUUUUCUGUUCAUGAGGGCUCAUCAUACAAUGUUCAGGCAGAGAAUGUCUAUUGCAGAAAUGCAUCGUAUCCCAGCAGUUAAGUCAAAUGGCAGCAAACUAGCUUACUUACCUAAAAGAACAAAUGUGAACGUAUGGAGAUAGCCUUUUUUUUUCUUAACCUUCAGAAGUAUCAACAAAGAUUUUCAUGUUUGUAAAUUGUCAUUUUCUUUGAGUAAACCUUAUGGAAAAGUCAAGGGAUUUAUUUAUUUAUUAAGUGAAAAAUGUAGUGGAAACUAUACUACAGCUUUAGUUCUCAUCAUCAGUUGAAAAACAGAAGUUGCAGUAGAGGAG
ensembl:lncRNA